GGGGGGGGGGGGGGUCAUUUUUCUAUGGAUUUGUGGGGGAUACUGAAGCGCAAAUCAGGAGGUGGGGUACCAAUAGGGCAUUUUUCUGUGGAUUAUUUUUUUUGGGAUAAUGCGCUAGCGCAUUCUUCGCAUGUUCUUAUGAAAGUGUGCCGCUUAAGACAUCAAACCUAAUCAAAUCAUUAAAUCGCCCACUACCAUUGUAAUUUGUGAAUGCAGAAUUCUGGCCAAAUUGCCCCCUUAGAUGAGAUUGUCAGGUUGACGGAGAAAUACAGGUUCCGUGUUAUUCUAGAGGAGAGUCAUUCUUUUGGGGGUGCUUGGUAAGUCUGGGCGCGUGGCCUUGCUGAACAUUAUGGAGUUCCUGUGAGUGUUCUGCUUUGGCUUUUUUUAACAUGUUUCACUCUGACAAUAAAAUGGUGUAAAAGAAGAAACAAGUAUUAUAAUCCAAAGCUUCCCUGGUAGCCACCAAUUGAUUCAUUAACUGGAUACUUAUGCACAUUCUCCCCUUUGUGUGAAACAUGCUUGCACAGAUUGAAAAAAUUGAUAUCAUCACUGCUGGAUUGGGAAAUGCAUUAGCCACUUAUUGUGGCUUCUGUACAGGAAGUAUCAGAGUUGUUGAUCAUCAGGUAGGUGCAAUACCAGACUGAUGGAACAUCGAUUGUGCAGCGUCUAAGAAGCUCUGGAUAUGUUUUCUCUGCCUCGCUGCCACCUUAUCUUGCCAGUGCUGCUAUUUCUGCUGUCAACUACCUGGAGGAGAACCCAUCAGUUCUUGCAAACUCAAGGAACAAUAAUUGCGUAUAAAGGUAAAGUUGAUUUUAUUGCAUAAACAAUGGCCCGCCAGCAAUGGAGGGGAAAAUGGACCGCCGGCAAUCGCUGAAGCAAGAGCCGCGACACGCAAUCCAUGGUACCCAAGGCUGGCCCCUCCAUCGAGCACCACCGCAUGUCCGGCGCCGUGACUUUUUCCAACGGCAAAGGCCGAUGGGGGGCCACGACUCUUCAUUUUCGAGUUAGGUAUCCAGCAGGGAAAGGAAGGACUGAGGGGAGGGAAAAACUACCUGUGAACAGAGCUACGUCGUGGGGUCAAUUUACUAAAAGUGGAAAGCUAGUGUAUUUGCUUUGCCAAAAUGGUGCAGCCACGGCAGCGUGCAGGCGGCGGCGGUAGGCGGCUUGCGCAUCCAAACACAGUAUGUCCUGAAAACCAAAUCUGUUCCCUGUCAUUCCCAAUAUGUUCAUGCAUUUUCAUGUUGGUCUUUAGCAGAAGGCAAAUUUAUGUAUUUUGUUAGGCAAUAAUACUUGUUAGCAGAGGCAAAUUCAUGCAUCUGAUUAGACAACUUUUAUUGAACAUUUUUUUUACAUUUAAAGCAUUUUACCAUAUCAUGCUAUUAUGUGGUAUCUGAAUUAGGCAAUAAUUAUUUCAGAAGGAAAAUUCAUGUAUUACAUUAGGCAUCUUCAUUGAAUAAUCCAUUAUUUUUGCCUGCUUAUUUGUUUUAUAUUGCUGAGUUUAUUAUGAUAUGCCUACAAGCAAGAAUGGUUUCAUCAAAACAUAUAGUUGAGCAAAAUGUUCUGUUCAUUCAUCAUGAGAGUUUAUCUAUGCUAAUACACCACUUUUGACUGUUCUCUACCCUGAUACUAUGAAAUAAUAUGGAUCAUAGGCAAAAUAGUGUACUUCAUUAGGUAAUCUUUUAUCGAGCAUUUCAUAAUUUUUUUUCUUUUAUUGGCUACCUUAAGUUAUGUAACAUACAACUACUAGUAUCUCUGCAGUUGACAAAGUGAGGAGAAGAUGCAGCUUCAUCGGUGAACAAGAACUGAAAUAACGCUAUACUUAGCUGCCGGUGUGUUUUGUAGGGGUAGCAUCAUCCUCCAGAUUGAUGCCAAUUGGUCCAAAAUUCCAUAAUGUUUCACUACAAAGAUUCAAAAACCUGUAUGGUUUUUGGGCUCUACAGGCCCUUCCUCAUCACCUAGUAAUGUAGCAUCAGCGUGACACUAUACAUUCCUAAGAGAAAUGCAACAGUUUUGAGGUUUGGCAAAUAAAUGUAUUAUCCGUGCAAUUUUUGUUGCUUC